AUUGAACGCUGGCGGCAUGCCUUACACAUGCAAGUCGAACGGUAACAGGUCUUCGGACGCUGACGAGUGGCGAACGGGUGAGUAAUACAUCGGAACGUGCCCAGUCGUGGGGGAUAACUACUCGAAAGAGUAGCUAAUACCGCAUACGAUCUGAGGAUGAAAGCGGGGGACCUUCGGGCCUCGCGCGAUUGGAGGGGCCGAUGGCAGAUUAGGUAAUUGGUGGGAUAAAAGCUUACCAAGCCGACGAUCUGUAGCUGGUCUGAGAGGACGACCAGCCACACUGGGACUGAGACACGGCCCAGACUCCUACGGGAGGCAGCAGUGGGGAAUUUUGGACAAUGGGCGAAAGCCUGAUCCAGCAAUGCCGCGUGCAGGAUGAAGGCCUUCGGGUUGUAAACUGCUUAUGUACGGAACGAAAAAGCUUCUCCUAAUACGAGAGGCCCAUGACGGUACCGUAAGAAUAAGCACCGGCUAACUACGUGCCAGCCGCCGCUGUAA
rnacentral:rRNA from 1 species